rnacentral:rRNA from 1 species
CCUACGGGAGGCAGCAGUGGGGAAUAUUGCACAAUGGGGGAAACCCUGAUGCAGCGACGCCGCGUGAGUGAAGAAGUAAUUCGUUAUGUAAAGCUCUAUCAGCAGGGAAGAAAAUGACGGUACCUGAGUAAGAAGCCCCGGCUAACUACGUGCCAGCCGCCGCGGUAAUACGUAGGGGGCAAGCGGUAUCCGGAUUUACUGGGUGGAAAGGGAGCGUAGACGGCAGUGCAAGUCUGGAGUGAAAGGCGGGGGCUCAACCCCCGGACUGCUCUGGAAACUGUACGGCUGGAGUGCAGGAGAGGUAAGUGGAAUUCCUAGUGUAGCGGUGAAAUGCGUAGAUAUUAAGAGGAACACCAGUGGCGAAGGCGGCUUACUGGACUGUAACUGACGUUGAGGCUCGAAAGCGUGGGGAGCAAACAGGAUUAGAUACCCGAGUAGUC